rnacentral:rRNA from 1 species
UACGGAGGGUGCAAGCGUUAUCCGGAUUCACUGGGUUUAACGGGAGCGCAGGCGGCUUGGUAAGUCAGUGGUGAAGGGCUUAAGCUUAACUUGGGAACUGCCAUUGAUACUAUCAGUCUUGAAUGUUGUUGAGGUUUGCGGAAUGGGUCAUGUAGCGGUGAAAUGCAUAGAUAUGACCCGGAACACCUAUUGCGAAGGCAGCAGGCUAAACAAAUAUUGACGCUGAGGCUCGAAAGCGUGGGGAUCAAACAGG